GGGCGGACGUAGCCAA
rnacentral:tRNA from 1 species